rfam:Tetraodon nigroviridis, WGS project CAAE01000000 data, contig: CNS0BO3V, chromosome: undetermined
GUCUGUGUAGAUGAUGGUAGAGCAUCAGACUUUAAUCUGAGGGUUCAGGGUUCAAGUCCCUGUUCAGGUG